rnacentral:sRNA from 1 species
CUUGGUCAUUUAGAGGAAGUAAAAGUCGUAACAAGGUUUCCGUAGGUGAACCUGCGGAAGGAUCAUUAGUGAAUUGAAUAUGUUAGCGGACCUCUUCGGAGUCCCUAGCAUCAAAUCAUAUCCAUAACACCUGUGAACUGUAAGGCUGUCUUGAAAACGAAAGUGAUUAGAGCGCCUGCCCAUUUUAUACAAACAUUAAAGUAACAAACGUAGUCUUAUUAUAAUCUAAUAAAACUUUCAACAACGGAUCUCUUGGCUCUCGCAUCGAUGAAGAACGCAGCGAAAUGCGAUAAGUAAUGUGAAUUGCAGAAUUCAGUGAAUCAUCGAAUCUUUGAACGCACCUUGCGCUCUUUGGUAUUCCGAAGAGCAUGCCUGUUUGAGUGUCAUGAAAAUAUCAACCUUGACUUGGGUUUAGUGCUCUUGUCUUGGCUUGGAUUUGGCUGUUUGCCGCUCGAAAGAGUCGGCUCAGCUUAAAAGUAUUAGCUGGAUCUGUCUUUGAGACUUGGUUUGACUUGGCGUAAUAAGUUAUUUCGCUGAGGACAAUCUUCGGAUUGGCCGAGUUUCUGGGACGUUUGUCCGCUUUCUAAUACAAGUUCUAGCUUGCUAGACAUGACUUUUUUAUUAUCUGGCCUCAAAUCAGGUAGGACUACCCGCUGAACUUAAGCAUAUCAAUAAGCGGAGGAAAAGAAACUAACAAGGAUUCCCCUAGUAACGGCGAGUGAAGCGGGAAGAGCUCAAAUUUGAAAUUUGGUGGCCUCAGGCUAUCCGAGUUGUAAUCUAUAGAAACAUUUUCCGCGUUGGCCCAUGUACAAGUCUCUUGGAAUAGAGCGUCAUAGAGGGUGAGAAUCCCGUCCUUGACAUGGACUACCAGUGCUUUGUGAUAUGUUUUCAACGAGUCGAGUUGUUUGGGAAU